rnacentral:rRNA from 1 species
AGUGAACGCUGGCGGUAGGCCUAGCACAUGCAGGUCGAACGGCAGCACAGUAAGAGCUUGCUCUUACGGGUGGCGAGUGGCGGACGGGUGAGGAAUACAUCGGAAUCUACUUUUUCGUGGGGGAUAACGUAGGGAAACUUACGCUAAUACCGCAUACGACCUACGGGUGAAAGCAGGGGAUCUUCGGACCUUGCGCGAUUGAAUGAGCCGAUGUCGGAUUAGCUAGUUGGCGGGGUAAAGGCCCACCAAGGCGACGAUCCGUAGCUGGUCUGAGAGGAUGAUCAGCCACACUGGAACUGAGACACGGUCCAGACUCCUACGGGAGGCAGCAGUGGGGAAUAUUGGACAAUGGGCGCAAGCCUGAUCCAGCCAUACCGCGUGGGUGAAGAAGGCCUUCGGGUUGUAAAGCCCUUUUGUUGGGAAAGAAAAGCAGCAGGUUAAUACCCCGCUGUUCUGACGGUACCCAAAGAAUAAGCACCGGCUAACUUCGU